AUGUAAUGAUAAACCCCAUGCCUGUCAGCUGACCCUGGAAAGCCCUGCCUUGUUGCUGCUACUACUAUCUGGAGUCUUCAGCACAGCAGGGGUCCAGAGGCAUUUUCACACAAGUUGGGACUCUGUAAAAC